GGUCCAUCACCAUCAGGAAGAUGCUGGGCAGCAGCAGGUUCACAGUGUAGAACAGAGGUCUGCGUCGGAUCACCACCUGAUCACGUUCAUCAUGAUCAUCAUCAUCAAUAGAGCAGUAAUUAACAUAAAUUAGUCAUGAACAGGAGUCAAUGUUGUCCAGACUGAAGCGCUUGUAUUUAGACAGGACGUGAAGAAGCUCCCACUCCCCCUGGUUCAUGAAGACACUCUUGUCCACCUUGAGUUCCUCUGUGCUCCUCAUCAGCUUGAGAUCGAUGUCAUUAACUAAAGACACAGAGGAGACCGAGACCAGUGGGUUCAGAUCAAUAGCUCCAGCUGGCCCACAGUAGCAGCAGAGUGCUGGCGUAGACGACCAGGAUGAACAGGUAGACUCGGAAAAGAAGGAUGUCCACCUUGCAGCAGAGGGCCACCCAGUCGGCCUGGGCCAAAUCGUCACUCUCCCCUUCUUGCAGGUAGAGCCGCAGGGCCACCACCUCCUGGAGCAGCCUCUCCAGCCGUGGAGCACUCUCCUGGAGCUCGCUCAGGGACAGUAGGUCCUCCUCUGGAGCCAGGUCAAACUCAUAGCCUGGAGGGACGACAUGAACUAGGAAGCUAGAGAUGUUGUCAACAUGUAAACGUGUCAGAGCUGGCCAUUACAAAUGAAAGGGAAUCAGAAAUCUGAGGCUAACCUGAGUGAAGCCAGCUGCGGAAGGUCAGAGUACAGUUCUGCUUAUCGAAAGGGAAGGCGUACAGCUCCAGGUCACAUGCAGACACCACCUGGAUGGGUUUGUUGUUCUUCACCAUCCCGGACGAGUUGACAUACACAUAGGGGAUGGCAGGGGACUCCCCUACAUCCACACUAACAGGGGGAGGACCACAGACUUAUGGGAAUACAUAUGGUGUCAAAUCUUACAAUUCACUGAUGAUGAGAUCGGGCACCCAUAUAGCAUCAGAGGACAGGGAGAUCUCAGUGAUCCCGUCAAACUCCUCGGGGUCCCACACCAGGAACUCAUCGGUCCAGAUCUGACAUCACAAACGGGAAACGCAUCACAAGACCAUUCAUAUGAAGUACAUGACAGAUGGGUGCAUGACUGUUUUGGCAUUCAACAACUCAAUUGUUGCAUGCCAAACACGGUUGAAGUUGCAUUUGCUGAAGCAGGCUCCCUGUCUUCCAGACAUGUUAUACAGUACCUUCAGAAAGUAUUCAUACACAUUGACUUAUUUUGUGUUGUAAUCCAUUUUGAAUUCAGGUUAUAACUUUUUUUCUCUCUCACCCAUCUACACACUACCCCAUAAUAGCAAACUGAAAACAUGUGUUUAGAAAUGUUUGCAAAUUUAUUGAAAAUGAAAUACAGAAAUAUCUAAUUUACGUAAGUACUUAAUUUACGUAAGUAUUUACGUACUUUCUGGGUUAGUCUCUAAGAGCUUUGCACACCUGUUAUUGUUUUCAAAAUUCUUCAAGCUCUGUCAAAUUGGUUGUUGGUCAUUGCUAGACAACCAUUUUCAAGUUUUGACAUACAUUUUCAAUCAAAUUUAAGUCAAAACUGUGACUCAGUCACUUGAGAAUAUUUUCUUGGUAAGCAACUCAAGUGUAGAUUUGGCCUUGUGUUUUAGGUUAUUGUCCUGCUGAAAGGUGAAUUAAUCUCUGUGUCUGAUGGAAAGCAGACUGAACCAGGUAUUCCUCUAGGACUCUGCUUAUGCUUAGCUCCAUUCCGUUUCUUUUUUUUAUCCUGAAAAACUCCCCAGUCCUUAAAGGAAAAUUCCACCCAAAAACUACCUUUUGGUAUUUGUUUCAUUCAUCCAUUGUUGACAUGGUCCCAAACGGUUUUGCUUCUCAGCAAUCAAGUUUUCAAUAUAUGUAACUUUCAAAAUACGUAUUUAGAUGUUUUGAAAGUUACAUACAGUAUCUUGAAGACUUGAUUGCUGACAAGCAAAACCGUUUGGGACUAUCAUUAACACCGAUAAGAGAAGACAAUUCAUACCAACCUGUCGGUACCAAAUGCUUGUGGUUACUUGCUGGGUCUUUCCAUCCUGUAAAAAGUAGAUUUGUAUUAUAUUUUUGUGUGUAAAUUGUUUGGGCAGAUUAUUGAAAUGUUUAAAUACAAAUUGUCAAAAUGUAUUUAUUGAAACAAUAUUAACAUUUCAUACAAAUUGUAUGAAAUGUUAAUCUUUUAAAUGAUCAUUUUGACAAUGUUUUAAUUUCUUGUGUUACAUAUUACCAGAAGCAUGGCAGGUAGUAAGUAGUAUUGUAUUUUAUAUUUAAAUAAUGACGGAUUUAGAUGAGGCCAUAUAGUUAUUUUUCUUUACC